UACGAAGGGGGCUAGCGUUGCUCGGAAUCACUGGGCGUAAAGGGUGCGUAGGCGGGUCUUUCAGUCAGGGGUGAAAUCCUGGAGCUCAACUCCAGAACUGCCUUUGAUACUGAAGAUCUUGAGUUCGGGAGAGGUGAGUGGAACUGCGAGUGUAGAGGUGAAAUUCGUAGAUAUUCGCAAGAACACCAGUGGCGAAGGCGGCUCACUGGCCCGGUACUGACGCUGAGGUGCGAAAGCGUGGGGAGCAAACAGG
rnacentral:rRNA from 1 species